UACAGGGGGGGCAAGCGUUGUUCGGAAUUACAGGGCGUAAAGGGCCAGUAGGCGGCCAACUAAGUCCGACGUGAAAUCCCAAAGCUUAACUUUGGGACUGCGUCGGAUACUGGAUGGCUUGAAUUCGGGAGAGGGAUGCAGAAUUCCAGGUGUAGCGGUGAAAUGCGCAGAUAUCGGGAAGAACACCCGUGGCGAAGGCGGCUCUCUGGGACGGUACUGACGCUGAGACGCGAAAGCGUGGGGAGCGAACAGG
rnacentral:rRNA from 1 species